GUGGUUUGUCCAAAUGUGGCUGCUGAGCUGAGCGGUGCUCUAGUCCUGGACGCCACACAAAGUGAUGCUGGUUCCUACCGACAGGGCCUGUAAAGUGCUUGUGUACUCUGUGCGAUGGUUCCACACAUU